rnacentral:rRNA from 1 species
AAGCUGGCGGCGUGCCUAUAAUGCAAGUCCAGCGAAUGGAUUAAGAGCUUGCUCUUAUGAAGUUAGCGGCGGACGGGUGAGUAACACGUGGGUAACCUACCCNUAAGACUGGGAUAACUCCGGGAAACCGGGGCUAAUACCGGAUAAUAUUUUGAACUGCAUAGUUCGAAAUUGAAAGGCGGCUUCGGCUGUCACUUAUGGAUGGACCCGCGUCGCAUUAGCUAGUUGGUGAGGUAACGGCUCACCAAGGCGACGAUGCGUAGCCGACCUGAGAGGGUGAUCGGCCACACUGGGACUGAGACACGGCCCAGACUCCUACGGGAGGCAGCAGUAGGGAAUCUUCCGCAAUGGACGAAAGUCUGACGGAGCAACGCCGCGUGAGUGAUGAAGGCUUUCGGGUCGUAAAACUCUGUUGUUAGGGAAGAACAAGUGCUAGUUGAAUAAGCUGGCACCUUGACGGUACCUAACCAGAAAGCCACGGCUAACUACGUGCCAGCAGCCGCGGUAAUACGUAGGUGGCAAGCGUUAUCCGGAAUUAUUGGGCCGUAAAGCGCGCGCAGGUGGUUUCUUAAGUCUGAUGUGAAAGCCCACGGCUCAACCGUGGAGGGUCAUUGGAAACUGGGAGACUUGAGUGCAGAAGAGGAAAGUGGAAUUCCAUGUGUAGCGGUGAAAUGCGUAGAGAUAUGGAGGAACACCAGUGGCGAAGGCGACUUUCUGGUCUGUAACUGACACUGAGGCGCGAAAGCGUGGGGAGCCAAACAGGAUUAGAUACCCUGGUAGUCCACCCCG